UAAUAAUAAAAGCUCCUACCAGUUUUAAAUAAUCAUAAAGACAUUGAUGCCAUUCACAGCAAAAGUGAGAUAGAAAACUCUAUUGAAUAAAGCACUUUAACAACUUAAAUGAGAAACUCUGCUACUGGCCUGCAUUAACAGAUCCUCCCAGGAGCUCUAUAGAACCCUAUUAAUCAACCUGCCAAGUUACCAACAUCCGUAUGGAGCCUGAAGUCAGCAGUCAAGAUUCACAACACACAGUGAAUGUCUGCAGUAUGGAUGUUGGGGGAUUUGGUUUCCAUUUCAUACCCUUGUACUCAUGUGCACAUCAGAUCUAGGGAUGUUGGAGAAUUCUAACAAAAGAAGAAACAGGAGCAGAAAUUGCUGGUGUUUGCUUAUUUAUCCCAUGCCCAGAAUGGAAAUCAAUGCAUUGAAAACAAUUUGUAUUUGCUGUUGUUGUUGCUUUCAGUCUGUAAAUGAUACACAAGUGAUUACAUCCCCCCCC